rnacentral:rRNA from 1 species
GAUGAACGCUAGCGGCAGGCUUAACACAUGCAAGUCGAGGGGCAGCACGGGUAGCAAUACCUGGUGGCGACCGGCGCAAGGGUGCGUAACGCGUGAGCAACAUGCCCUAUACAGGGGGAUAAUCCAGGGAAACUUGGUCUAAUAUCCCAUAGUAUUUAGAGGAGGCAUCUUCUAUAAAUUAAAGCUUCGGUGGUAUAGGAUUGGCUCGCGUGACAUUAGCUAGAUGGUGAGGUAACGGCUCACCAUGGCAAUGAUGUCUAGGGGUUCUGAGAGGAAGGCCCCCCACACUGGGACUGAGACACGGCCCAGACUCCUACGGGAGGCAGCAGUGAGGAAUAUUGGUCAAUGGUCGCAAGACUGAACCAGCCAUGCCGCGUGCAGGAAGACGGUCCUAUGGAUUGUAAACUGCUUUUAUACAGGAAGAAACCCUCCCACGUGUGGGAGCUUGACGGGUACUGUAGGAAUAAGGAUCGGCUAACUCCGUGCC